rnacentral:misc_RNA from 1 species
GAACAAUCUGAGGGCAUUUUGCCGGGAAAACCUUGGGUGGAAGACUAAAUAAAUUAGAUUUCGCUUUGAACGCCUGUAAGAAAUUGGAAUCUUGAUCACGUCAAGUCUAAGAAUCAUAAGCAAGGGGAUUUAUUCGGUCAUCGUUUUGGAUUCAACGCACAACUCCGGUUACAGAGUUAGAAUCGUCCCAGUCCUCUUUGCGUUUAAGCAUAUACAUAUAGAAGAAG